CGGUACCUGGGUUUCCUCCUUCCGAACAGCGGGAGUCGAGCCGGGCGGCGGAGCACGGAAACUUCCUCCCCGCCGCGGCGGGCGCGAGCGGAGGGCGCCCGCGGGGCUGGCUCCGGGCUGGGGCCCUCCCCGGGCUGCUCCGUCUCCGGACCUCCCCCCGGGCGGGCAGACUCAGCAGCGCACGCCCGCCGCACCCGGGCUGCGAAGCGGGGGGGGGGCUGGCCCCGACGACCCCCGAGGUCCCUCCGGCCCGGGAUUGUGGGCGGCCGCUCCCGCCCGGCCCAGGCCUCAGCCGGCACCUCGCAGGGCGCCGUUUCACAACUAAAUCACCGCGGAAGCUUCCCAGCCAAUAAAUCACCUGCCCACCGGGAGGGGAGUCCCUCCCACUCCCCGCGGUUGAGACCAGCCGGGCGAAUUCAGUGAAGAGCCAGACUUGGCCGGGAAGACCGAUCUGCAACCUCCUACUCCAUUCCUGGAGGCUCUGCAUUUUCAGAUUUCACCCCUUUCUAAGAUAUGACUCAUCACUGUCAGUUUUCAACAUAAUUCGUAUAGUUCAAAAGGAAAAAUCUGGCAAGGCACAAGAAAGAAGCAAGCUCUGCUCUAGUCUGAAGCAGAGUGACCCUCGUUACCUGAAAAAAGUAUCAUUUACAUGCUCAGCACGCAUCCCGGGCUGCGUGCAGAGCACCUCCACAUCUUCACAUCUCCACCGGGAUGUGGAGAGGAACGAGACUGCCCUGCCCUCAAGGAGCAGGCCUGGCAAACAGGGUAAGAUAAAUGUGUGUGAGGUGAUUACAGAACAAUCUGAGACUUAGGUCGGCCAAGCAUGAAGUAGUGAAGGGCAGCUCACCAGUGCUGCAAGGGAGCCGAGAAGAGGGAUGGACUGUUGUUCAGAAUGCCUUCACGGAAGCAGAUCGAGAAGAGCAGACAGCAUCUGCAGGUGUGGAGGAGUGGGAAGGCCCUCCAGGAAAGACAGAGGCAGAGAAUAGGAAGUGGCAAUCAGACAGGGAGAGUCUAUACAAAGCUGAGGUGGGCUCUGGCGUGAGUCAGAUGGUGGAAUGGCAGGGCCAUGCAUGUGUGAGGACACGCAACAGGUUCACUGGGAGAGGCCGGCCCAGUGAAGGAGCACCUGAGAAAGGCUGAACCUGGAAGAGCAGGGUAAUGUGGGAGAGUUCUGCAAACGUGAGUUCAGACCCUGAUUCCUCCACUUGUUAUAAUCCUCUGAACAGCAUCCAUUCAACAGUUAUGAAGUACCUACUAUAUGUCAGGAGCCUCAAAGUCCUCACAACCUAAAAGGAAGUACUGCUAUUAUCUCCAUUUUACUGACAAGGAAGCUGAGGCACCAUGGGUUAAGUAACCAGACCAAGGUCACCCAACUCCUCAGCGGUCAAGGCAGAAUUCAAACCCGGGCUCCAAAAUCCAUGCCCUGCAGCACUACUGCCACAGUCUCGGUGAAGUGGGCCAAGAGUCUACGGAGGUCAGCAAUUUCAGUCAUGGUCCCAUGAUCUGCGACUCUGCCCUUUCCAUCUGCCCCUCCAAAUCAAAUCAACUCUUCAGUAUUCUUCCUAAGAAAGGUCUUUCAGUGCCUUCCUUUCCCGCUCAUUCCAGCAGUAGUCGCAGGCCAAACCCUCACCCUUCCUUCCUACUAGCCAGCUUCCUAACCCAUCUCCCUCAUCCAGCCAUUUACAAGCCUCUGCUGAGGAACUUUUCAAAACCACGGAUUUCAUCAUGAGUCCUACACCAUCUUGCCCCCAGGCCCUACCUAAGAAUAGCUCUUUGACCUCUUCAGGUGGUGUUUAACCCUUAGCCCUGCAUUCAAGGCGCACCAGGAUCCUGUCCUGGCCUACCUUUCCAAACAGAUGUCCAGUAAUGCCAACUGGUCCAUGCUACCACCUCUGUCUGAACUUCCGACUCUGGGGUACCUUUAAUACUUCUCUCCACAGCCUACCUCCAGUUCACCUCAAACUCAAGCUCAAAUCCCUCCCACCCCAAAAUGAGACUUCCCUGACCGUCCCCAUCCCCAUUCACUUCGCACUUAUUUAUUUGUAAAAGGCCUUAUGUACUCAUAGUGUCUAUGAGCUCUGAAAAGACAGGAAUUGUAUCUUAUACCACCUUGCCUCCUAUAGCAUUAGGCAGCUGGAGCUCCCAAGUCUGUGAUACACAGAUGAAACAAACCAUGAGAUGACAAGAGCCUGGGCUAGGGUGGUCACAGUGGAAAUAGACUGUUAAAUGCCAAAGGGUCCAUUUUGAACUUUGAUAACAAAGUUGAUCUUACCGGCUCCAUGACACCAAACUCUGCUGAUUUUUCUCAUAUCACCUGGUGGCUUAAUUCUCUCCUCCACCUCUGAGUCUCCCCAAGGCUUUGUUCUAGGUUUUCUGCUCCCCACAAACUCCCUCCCAAUAUGAUUUCCACUGCUCCCAUGGCUCUAAAUACCAUCCAAGAUUCUCACUACUAUUUCUAAGGCUAAAUCUAUGGUCCAAGCCCAUUUGGGAACACUUGUCUCACAGACAUUUCAAACUAACUACUUGCAGAAAUAUGGAUUUGACAUCUGAUGGUGAACACAAACCACUGCUGUCAGUGUGUAUCAAUGACUAUGCUAUCAAGUGCAAAGCACCACUGGCCCCACUUUUUUAAAAAAAGGAAGUAAAAGCUUCAUGUGGCCUGUACUGUUACUUCUCUAUGGAAAGCCACAAGGCCUCAAACUGGCAAAACAUCUGCUUCUCAGAGACCAGCCUUUACCUUGUGGUUUACCAGAAAUGUAGAGUAGCCUUUAAAAUCGAAACAAAGCCAACCCACUCAGAGUGGUCAAUGAUUAGAAUAGGUCAGUAUGUUAAAUAGGUUACUGAAGCUGUAGUCUCCGUUCCCUCAAUUCAUUCAUCUCUCUGCAAAUGAAGACCCUGACUUUUUUUAAGACUUUUAUUUCAUAAUUAACACUAUCGACUCACAGACAGACAGGCACUGGAAGCUUCUAAAGGAAAGUUCACAGACGCGGUCUGUUUCUUAAUAGCAUUCUAGCAGUUGAGCUGAAAUUCAGCAUUUCCAGUGCUGAGAUUCAAGGCCUCAUGAAUUAUGUCUCUGUCCCUUAGCUGUUCUGUCCCUGAUGGUGUAUAGACGUUAGACUGCUAAGAUGCCAAGGGUGCAGGAGAAAGAAGGCUGCUCCUUCCCGAGGCGGGAGCUGUGGCUGGGCCGCUGCUCCGAGUGCCGGGCAGCCCUGCUUCUUACGCUCCGCAGGCUUGCAGUCUGGCCACUCUCAGAGCCGUGAGCUGAGGUUCCCCGGGUGUUGGCACUGUUUUCUCUGGUGCUCUUUGUUUUCAAUCAACCUGUGUGUUUUUUGGGAGCAGAAGACAAGUCCUCUUCUAUUUCUCAAUCGUCAUAGCCAGAUGAGACCCAAAUAUACAUACAGAUUUAUUAAUGGCAAGGAGACUGUUCUUUGCUUUGUUUUACAACUUAGUUUGUGAUUGCACUCCAAUUUUGAUUUUAUCUACUGAAAUAUAUUUUGACAUACAACACUGUGUUACAAGGUACACAACAUGUUAAUCUGAUACGUUUAUACACUGUAAAAUGAUUGCCAUUGUAGUGAUAAUCAUGUUACAUAAUUACUCCCCAGGUUUUAGACACAUUGCUAUAGUUUUUUCUAUUAUUGAGCUGAAACUUCAUGUCACCAUCAGAAGUUAUCUACCUAUAAGUUCCUGGUAGAGAACAUUUAAUUCUUGGCUUUAAAAAAAGUGAGUUACCUGAACACAGUACUUGCUGUUAAAUUUGGGUCUGAGUAGAAUCUGGAGAGCUCUAUUUCUCAUUUUUGGUAGAAUGGAAAGAAUGUGAGAUUCAAACUCAGAAGUCCUAGGAUCUGGUCUGCUUCUCUGUUCCACAGAGUAAUUCUGACAUGGCUGUUUAGACACAGCCACUUUUGAAACGGGAGAUACGUAAUAGGGAUAAACAUAAUUGGGUGAAAAUGCGAUAACAUUCUCUCUUAUGAUAAAGUAACAAGUUCAAAAGUUCCGCUCAUUAUUGCUGAGCCUGCCCCAGCUCAGAGCCUCCCAAGCCCUGUGCCCAUGGGCGAUGACGGCCUCACCGGCUGCCCAGACACUGACUGUCUCCCACCGGGUGGGGGGAAGGGGUGGACCAGGGUUGGCCUGGGGCAAGCAGCUUCACUGUCCUGUGUCGGGAUGAGAGAAAGGCAGGGAGACACCACCUAUUCAACAAUAAAAGCAGCCAGCACUGAGCAGUACUCCCAUGGCGGGCACUCUCCUAGGGGCUCUACACCAACUGACUCACUGAAGCACCGCAAUAACCUUACAAGGCAGGGGCUACUAAUAUCUCCAUUUUACAGACGGGAAAACUAACCACGUGUCACCAAAUCCUUGAACCAGGGUGGGAGGGUCAAGACUGACAAAUGUAAACAGUCAGGGAACUUCAGGGAUGGGGUGAAGGCUAAAAAUGGAGUUGAGGAGAGUGUGUGGAUCAGGGCUACGAUGGGCACCUGCUGCCUGCGUUUGCAUUUCAAGAUUUUAAGUGUUUCUCAAAGGUCUACGAAUGGACAAAUAAAGGCCAUAUUCUCGAAACUUAA